rnacentral:rRNA from 1 species
GACGAACGCUGGCGGCGUGCUUAACACAUGCAAGUCGAACGGAAAGGCCCUGCUUUUGUGGGGUGCUCGAGUGGCGAACGGGUGAGUAACACGUGAGUAACCUGCCCUUGACUUUGGGAUAACUUCAGGAAACUGGGGCUAAUACCGGAUAGGAGCUCCUGCUGCAUGGUGGGGGUUGGAAAGUUUCGGCGGUUGGGGAUGGACUCGCGGCCUAUCAGCUUGUUGGUGGGGUAGUGGCUUACCAAGGCUUUGCCGGGUAGCCGGCCUGAGCGGGUGACCGGCCACAUUGGGACUGAGAUACGGCCCAGACUCCUACGGGAGGCAGCAGAGGGGAAUAUUGCACAAUGGGCGGAAGCCUGAUGUAGCAACGCCGCGUGCGGGAUGACGGCCUUCGGGUUGUAAACCGCUUUCGCCUGUGACGAAGCGUGAGUGACGGUACUGGGUAAAGAAGCACCGGCUAACUACGUG